UACGGGGGGGGCAAGCGUUGUUCGGAAUUACUGGGCGUAAAGGGCGCGUAGGCGGCCAACUAAGUCGGAUGUGAAAUCCCCAGGCUCAACCUGGGAACUGCAUCCGAUACUGGAUGGCUUGAAUUCGGGAGAGGGAUGCAGAAUUCCAGGUGUAGCGGUGAAAUGCGUAGAUAUCUGGAGGAACACCGGUGGCGAAGGCGGCAUCCUGGACCGGUAUUGACGCUGAGGCGCGAAAGCUAGGGGAGCAAACGGG
rnacentral:rRNA from 1 species